rnacentral:rRNA from 1 species
CCUACGGGGCGCUGCAGUGGGGAAUAUUGGACAAUGGGCGAAAGCCUGAUCCAGCCAUGCCGCGUGUGUGAAGAAGGCCUUCGGGUUGUAAAGCACUUUCAGUGGGGAAGAAAGCCUUGGGGCUAAUACCCUCGAGGAAGGACAUCACCCACAGAAGAAGCACCGGCUAACUCCGUGCCAGCAGCCGCGGUAAUACGGAGGGUGCGAGCGUUAAUCGGAAUUACUGGGCGUAAAGCGCGCGUAGGCGGUCUGAUAAGCCGGUUGUGAAAGCCCCGGGCUCAACCUGGGAACGGCAUCCGGAACUGUCAGGCUAGAGUGCAGGAGAGGAAGGUAGAAUUCCCGGUGUAGCGGUGAAAUGCGUAGAGAUCGGGAGGAAUACCAGUGGCGAAGGCGGCCUUCUGGACUGACACUGACGCUGAGGUGCGAAAGCGUGGGUAGCAAACAGGAUUGGAUACCCGAGUAGUC